rnacentral:rRNA from 1 species
UACAGGGGGUGCAAACGUUGCUCGGAAUUAUUGGGCGUAAAGCGCGCGUAGGCGGCUACUUAAGUCGGAUGUGAAAGCCCCUGGCUCAACUGGGGAAGUGCACCCGAAACUGAGCAGCUAGAGUACGAAAGAGGGUCGCGGAAUUCCCGGUGUAGAGGUGAAAUUCGUAGAUAUCGGGAGGAACACCGGUGGCGAAGGCGGCGACCUGGGUCGAUACUGACGCUGAGGCGUGAAAGCGUGGGGAGCAAACAGG